UACAGAGGGUGCGAGCGUUAAUCGGAAUUACUGGGCGUAAAGCGCGCGUAGGCGGCCUCUUAAGUCGAACGUGAAAAUCCCCGGGCUCAACCCGGGAACUGCGUCCGAUACUGGGAGGCUUGAAUCCGGGAGAGGGAUGUGGAAUUCCAGGUGUAGCGGUGAAAUGCGUAGAUAUCUGGAGGAACACCGGUGGCGAAGGCGGCAUCCUGGACCGGUAUUGACGCUGAGGCGCGAAAGCUAGGGGAGCAAACAGG
rnacentral:rRNA from 1 species